ensembl:lncRNA
UUUUUUUUGGGUUUUUUUGGUUUUUUUUUUCCCUGGUGUGACUGGUCACAGAGGGAUAAAGCAUUUAGCUGAUUGCUCUGCUCUGUGGGCUGGGCAGGGAGAGCAGGGGACUCAGCCAGGAAAGGGAGCACAGUCCUGUGCCUGAUCCUGACCUCUCCAGCAGCAUCAGGAGCCCGUGGGAAGCCAAAGGCAGCCCUGCCCAGAGUGGAUGAGCUUUAUUUGGGGAUGGAUGGGGAGGCUGCUGGUUGUGCCAGGCAUGAUCGUGGCCUGGGCUUGAGCAGGGGGGCGUUUCUCAGCUGACUCCUUUUAGGAUGGGGAGUCAGAUCUCAGGUUUCUUGCCCAAGGAGUCUAUUCCAAAAUCCAAGCAUCUCUCGCUCAUGCAGCCCUCUGUCCCUGGGAGCUGUUACAUAAGAAACUGGACAGGCAGAACCAGCAAUGUUUGUCUCCAUCAGGACACAUGUAAUAAAAGAGAGAUUAUCCCAGGCAGGAGCAUGAUGUUGGCAUCAUAAUUAUCAUUGGGAACCAGAUGCAACCCUGAAAGAAGCCUGGAGCAGGAGGCAGAGUUGGCUUUGCUCUGCUGGAGACAUUUCCAGGGCAGCUCUGGACCUGCUUAAGCUUCCAGCUAUGGGCAAAAUUACCUGGAGCUACACCCUUAUCUCUCUCUUUUAAAUUUUUUCAUUGAAUCGAAACAGAAAUAUGACCCAGCAGCUUUUUGCUCUUCAGAAAUGACAUUUUGGAGCAAGUCCCAGCCAUUAAAACAGCCCAGCAGACAGAGGUUGGCCCGUGGCUGGAAUAGUCAAUCAGGGAUGCCGCAUUCCAGCCUGUCUCUUCCUGCUCCCACACAGCUGCAGAGGGUCAACAACUCCAUUAAAUUAGAGCCACAGCAGUGUGCCUAGAUUUGCAUAUUUAGAGCUCUCUCAGCAUCUUCAAAGAGCCCCGAGCUGGCCCCGCAGCGGGGCUGGUCCCUGUGUCGGAGCACCCACUCAGGAAAACAGCAAUUCUCUCCAGGGAGGAUUUGCUGCGAGGGGCGACAUGUGGGAGGCAGCUGAAUCAGGGCUUGGCCCCCCUCUCUGCCAGGGUUUGGGAAUGAAGCCGUGCACACGCAGCUCAGGGGCUCCUCAGCUGCUCCGUGCUGUGUCUCCAGCCCUGCCAAACCCCGUUUAUACCAGGUUAAGCUGCUUUUGGUGUCUGCAGCCCUGGCUGUGAGGCAGGGUCUGCCAUCAGGGCAUUCAGCUGGCAUCAGGAUCCUUCCCCGUGUGACGUCCUUGGAGAGGUUUCUCUCUCAGACUCACGUAACUGCAUCAUUCCCAAGCUGGAUGCUGUUUACAUCCCUGUUUAGCACCUUCCCAUGUUUCCAAGAAGAUGCUUUUUUCCUGGCAGGGACCUAACAGCAGGGCCCUGCAGUUUGGCAUUGCUGCAAGGUCAGCUGUGGGCUCUGAUUUCCCUUUCCCUCACCUCCUUUUUCACCACUCCUGCUGGUGCCUGUUGUUGCUGUAAGUUCCCAGCAGGACGUGGCUCUCUGGACAUAAUCUGUAUUCUCAGCACUUGCCACGUUUCCCACCUGCUGCUUCUAUUCCCCAGUGCUCCAUCUCAAGCUGCCAGGAGUGGUUUUAAUUCACCAGCAGCUCCUGAGAAGCCAGAGUGCUUCCAGCCUUUCCUCUGGAGCAGGACAUUGUGGUUUAGGAAGCUGCCAGCUGCUGCUCUUUCAAAAUAGCAAUACAGAGCUACUGUGGAGGGUGGCCAGCCCCAGCCCCAUGCUCUGAGCAGGCCCUGGAGGGGCUAAUUCUGCUCUGUGCUCUCAAGUGUUUAUAUAUGUAUAUGUAUAAAAUGAAUAACAUGCAAAUAUACAUGUAUAUAUCUUUCCUCUGGUAUAUUCCCUUUGGCCCAUCAGUGGCAGGACUGAUUCUCUCCACAGACACUCUCAGGGAGCUGGGGAAGUGGUGAAGUGAUGAAAGGAUGCUACUUCACAGCUUUUUUGGGUUCUCAGUGAUGGUUAGAGGAGCAGGCUUUGAACUCUGGCUCUGACCUGCAGUAGAUAAACACGUGCCUUUGCAGGCCUGGUGUAUCUCACUGCUCUUCUGCCUUCGAGAAAGGAGAGCAAACAAGUCUGGCAGAUGGUUUCAGCCAUGUCUGCUUGGCCAUGGCAACCUGAGAUGGGCACCAGGACCCAGGCAGGACCUCUUUUGUCCCCUCCCUCCCCGGGGCACAGCACUGCUGCUGAUUAACCUCCUCUCCUCUCCUCUCUGCGAUCUGGGGUUGGUAACUAGGUCACGGCCACUCAUGGCACACCCCCUGAAGAAAAGGGGGUCAGUGGGGGCUGCAGGAGCUUCUCUGGGAGGAGAGGGCUGGGCAGGUGGGAAGGAGCUCAGCAGUGGCAGCUCCACCCUCCAGACCCAGACCUCCAAGCAGUUUAGAGCCAGUCUGGCUUUGGGAAAAGGAGAUUCCAGCAGCCUGGCAAGGGUUGGGGCAUCCUGCUGCUUACAGGGUCUGUCCUGCCCUUGAUCCAGGCCUGGCACGAUGCUGCUGGGAGCCAGGGUGACCCCUGGAGAUGGCUGGGGACCAGAUGCCACCCACGGGGAAGAAAAAUCAUGGAGGGCAAGGCUGAGGCUGGACCAACCCCAUUGGGGGAGUUCUGGUCUCAGGGAAAGGGUGAGAGGAGGGGGAGGAGGAGGGGGAGGAGGAGGCUCAUGUCACAUCGAGUUGUUCAUGUCCAAGGUGAUGCUGCUCUGAGUUUUUUGUAGGAGAGCCAGCAGUGUUUGGUUAGGACAGCACAACCAGAGAGGAAAGGGCUGGGUAAUGACGAUUGCUGCAGGAUCAUGGAAUGGCUUGAGGUGGAAGGGAACUCACAGACCAUCUCCUUCCCUGCCCACCCAGCCUCCAGAGGCUCUCUGGGAUCACAGAGGCAGGGUGAAGGAUUGCCAUAUGCUGUUAACGGGGACACAGGGACUCCUGCUGAGCUGUUUGUCUGUGUGAUGAUGAAGACAAACCCUCCCUGUGGGAGGGUCUGGAGGCAUUCCCUGUGACACCAGCUGCCCUGAAAGACCUUUCCUGAAGGCACCAGCUCCUUCCAGCAGGGCAAGGACAGGGUCUCUGUGCCUCCAGCAGGGCAAGGACAGGGUCUCUGUGCCUCUGCGAAGCAGCAGAAGAGGGAACCACUGUGGGGACUGGCCAGGAGGGGCUGCAGAGGGGAGCAGAGGGGUUGGAGCGCUCACCCCUAGCGGAGCUGCUGCCCCGGGGGAGCCACGGGCCGGUGCCACCCGCUCCCCCCCCGCCACACCGGAGCCUCCGGGAGGUGACAGCCCACGAGGUGGCACCAGAGCCCCGCCGCAGCCCGGCACCGGCACCGAGAGGACGCGGCGGGAUCCGUGAGCAUCCUCCCGCCUCGCCUACCUGGUACCCUCCGGGCAUCCCCCAUGGGCAUCCCGGCACCCAGCGGGCAUUCCAGUCCCUGUGGACACCCCAGAGCCUGGCAGACAUCCCCAACACCCAGCAGACAUCCUGGUACCCUGCUGGCCUCCUUGGCACCUGCCACACCUCCUUGUAUCCUGUGGGUAUCACCUGGCAGGGCCCCCCCAGCACCCUCUGGGCACCCCAGCACUUGGCCCUUAAUCCCUGAGCAAAGAGGACCAAGGAGGAAGGACAGGGCUUGCUUUUCUGCAGUAUCUCUACAGGGAGAUAAAGGGUAUCCCAUGUGUCCCAGCACCUGCUGGGCAUCUUGGCACCCUCUGGGUAUCCUGGCACCCUCCGGGCAUUCUGACACACCCUCUGGGCAGCAGUAUCUCAGCAGGGAGACACUGGUGAUCUAACCUAAGUGCCAUAAGGUGGUUAGAUCACAGGGACAGCUUGGUUCCAGGGAGGAUGUUCUCCUGCAGAGUAAAGGCCGUUCCUUCCCAAAACAGCCUUACCAGCAAGAAUUGUCCCUAAACAGGCAGGGAGGCUGCUUGGCAUGUGUCACUUUGCACAAGUCCUGCGUGUUUUGCUGGGUGAUGUGCAGAGGUGCCUCAGUAGACAUCUGAAUAGUGAUGUUAAAUAGGAGAGGCUCAUUUUGACACCCAGGCACUGUAAAAUCUGCGAGCUGUCAAUAUUGUGACAGCCAAAGCCCUGGGCUGUUGUGUCCUAAAAAAGCAAUCAGUCCUCCUUCAGUGCCACUUCCUGAGGGAAACAUAUCAGAGCUCCAGCAGGGAUCAGAGUGCAAAAACACACCCGGCUCAACUCCUGCUAACGAGCAAACAGCCCUGGCUUGUCCCCAUUAUAAUCCCCCUGCCGUGAGCCCGGUCAGGGGUAUAAUGUGAUUGUUUUCAUGGCUAUUUGUGGCUACCUGAAACCCCACCACUGCUCUUCAGCACAUAAUAGCCCUGAAGAGGGACAGUUUCCAUCUCCACAUAUGAUUGUGCCCAUUACUGUAUCUAUAUUUUAUUAGUGGCUGUCGCAAUGUACAUUAAGGAGAUGCACAUUUAUCGCUGUGCUGGAUAAAGCUCAGCUUUGAAACCUCGAGGAGACAUGGCAUCAGAUUAAACGAAGUCAAAGGACAACUUCUGCCUUUUUCAAAGGCUUGAUUCUGCUUCCACAAAGGCACAAUUCUCCCUGGCUACAGAGGGAGAGGGGUUGGUACCUUGUCCACAGCUCCAUGUGGGCUGGAUGAACGCCCUGGGGAGAUGUGUCAUACUCCCCCCUCCAGCACAACGCUCAGAGGGUGAAAUCCUCAUGCCAGAGACACUCAUGCUCUAGAAGUUCUGAAUGCUGCCUAUCAACUCUACAGCUUGUCCACAGAGGUCAGGGCAUGUGGGUGCAGGUCUGUAUUCCCAGGAGCACAUCCCUAGAAACAGCUGUAAAUCCACAGUGGCACUGAGUGGGUAUUUAAACUGCCUUUCCCUGCGGGGCAUGCUGCUUUUUAGCCACCCAAUGGUCCCUUUUAGCUCUAUUCUGUUUCUUAUCCCUGGGGUUGAAGCCAAAAAUGCUCCAGCAAGGAAUCACAUUCAAACACUGCCUUUCUCAUUAACAGGAUGCUGUGGGGAGAGAUUAAAUGCUGGGCUGGAGGUUGGCUUGGCCUGGGAGCAGGCAGAGGCUGGAGGGCUUCACUGCCUGCAGCUCCCUGA